rnacentral:sRNA from 1 species
UCUGAGGGCCUUUGUUUUGAUGAA